GUGAGGAAUUUUCCGCAAUGGGCGAAAGCCUGACGGAGCAAUGCCGCGUGAAGGAUGAAGGCCUAUGGGUUGUAAACUUCUUUUCUCAGAAAAGAAUUAUGACGGUAUCUGAGGAAUAAGCAUCGGCUAACUCUGUGCCAGCAGCCGCGGUAAGACAGAGGAUGCAAGCGUUAUCCGGAUUGAUUGGGCGUAAAGCGUCUGUAGGUUGUUUAAAAAGUAUUCUGUCAAAGAUUAGGGCUUAACCCUAGAUAGGCAGAAUAAACUUUUAAGCUAGAGUUUGGUAGAGGCAGAGGGAAUUCCCGGUGGAGCGGUGAAAUGCGUAGAUAUCGGGAGGAACACCAAAGGCGAAGGCACUCUGCUGGGCCAAUACUAACACUGAGAGACGAAAGCGAGGGGAGCAAAUGGGAUUAGAUACCCUAGUAGUCC
rnacentral:rRNA from 1 species